UCCUCGGGACCGGCCAUGCUGCGGCUGGUGCCGCUCGUCGCCGGGUGGCUGCUACCCGUGGGCCCCAUCGCGCCCCGGGUCAGCCAGGUCCGGGCAUGGCUGCUCGGGUACGGCGGGCUCCCGCCUUGGCGGGCGGCCGCGGGUUCGGCCGGUGGCGGGUGGCGCCCGGUUCUGAAGACACCCAAGGGCACUCGCGACCACCCCCCUGCGCACACGGCGCUCCGUGACCGGCUGCUCGCCGCCGUGGUGACCUGCUUCAAGCGGCACGGCGCGGCCGCCAUCGACACCCCCGUGCUAGAGCUGCGGGAGACGCUGAUGGGGAAGUACGGGGAGGAAGCGAAGCUCAUCUAUGAGCUGCAGGACCAGGGAGGGGAGCUGCUGGCCCUGCGCUACGACCUGACUGUGCCCUUUGCUCGCUAUCUGGCAAUGAACAAGAUCACCAACAUGAAGCGCUACCACAUUGCCAAGGUCUACAGGAGAGACAACCCAGCCACCACUCGGGGCCGCUACCGGGAGUUCUACCAGUGCGACUUUGACAUUGCUGGGCAGUUUGACCCCAUGAUUCCUGAUGCCGAGUGCCUGAAAAUCGUGCAUGAGAUCCUGAGUGACCUGCAGCUCGGGGACUUCCUCAUCAAGGUCAAUGACAGGAGGAUUUUGAAUGGGAUUUUUGCUGUCUGUGGCAUCCCAGAGAGCAAGUUUAUAACAACGUGUUGUACUGUGGACAAGCUGGACAAGGUGCCAUGGGAAGAAGUGAGGAGCGAGAUGGUGGGGGAGAAGGGGCUCUCCCCUGAGGCUGCGGAUCACAUCGGGGAGUACGUCCAGCUUCACGGUGGCCUGGAGCUGAUCGAGCAGCUGCUCCAGGACCCAAAGCUGUCCCAGAACAAGCUGGCCAAGGAGGGGCUGGGGGACAUGAAGCUGCUCUUUGAGUACCUGACCCUGUUUGGCAUCACAGGAAAGAUCUCCUUUGACCUGAGCCUGGCGCGGGGCCUGGACUAUUACACAGGGGUGAUCUUCGAGGCUGUGCUGCUGCAGCAGGAGAAUGAGCACGUGGAGGAGCCCGUGAGCGUCGGGAGCGUGGCUGGAGGCGGCCGCUACGAUGGGCUGGUGGGGAUGUUUGAUCCCAAGGGACGGAAGGUGCCCUGCGUGGGGGUCAGCAUUGGGAUAGAGCGGAUCUUCUCCAUUCUGGAGCAGAGAAUGAAGGCUUCCGGGGAGAAGGUUCGAACAACAGAGACACAAGUGCUGGUGGCUACACCUCACAAACACUUACUUGCUGCAAGACUGAAGCUCAUCUCUGAGCUGUGGGGUGCAGGGAUCAAGAGAUGCUGUACAAGAAGGAUCCUAAACUGCUGAAGCAGCUGCGGUAUUGUGAGGACACGGGAAUCCCCCUUGCUGCCAUUGUAGGGGAGCGGGAGCUGACAGAUGGAGUCGUCAAGCUGCGAGAUGUUGCAACAAGAGUGGAGGUUGAUAUCCAAAGAGAAAAGCUUGUUGAUGAGAUCAGAAGAAGGCUGGAGCCUUAGGACUCUUCAGGUCAGAGCUGCUUGCCUGAGCUGCUGUACAACUGGAACCCUCAGCACCCUUAGCACUUACUUCCUGCUGAAGACUGGUCGAUAUUUACCAUCCUAAGCCUCACCUGCCUGGGCUAAUGCAGUGUCAACAUGGGCUGUCUGCUUGGAAAGGAGCAAGUGGGCUUUAAAGGUUACAGACAGUGCAGUCGCCAGCUUAACCUUGUGGUUAACCGCUCUGAAAGAUGCGUCAAGACUGGGGGUUCCUGCUGUUGCCGUGCCUGUGACUGCAGUGACGGUGGUGCCAGGGGCACAGAUGGAUGUGGUGCAGCUGCAGCAGGAUGGGGCUGAGCUCUGCACUGCGUGUGGGGUUGUGGUGCAGUGCGAGCACGGAGGCUCAGGAUACAGGGAGCGGGUGGCUGUGGAAGCCACCUCCUGCCCACUGAGGGCUGCAGCGGCCAGCCCCGACCUGUGGGGAGCACAGACUCGGGGCGGGACUCGGCCUGGCGCUGGGGCAGGCUCCGGCCGGGGUCGGGCGUGCUGG